AUUCAAGGCUGCCAAGCUCUUCUGUGAAGUACAGUCAUGGAACUUCAGAGAAGCCUUCCAUGGUUAGGUCAUUCGAUGCUGUCACCCCUUCCACAUAAAUAGCACAUCUGCUCAAGACAUAGAGUUUAUUUUGAAGGACACAGAUCUGGAAACACUUUGUCCCUGGAUGGACUUUCAGCCAAAUGAGGAUCUCCAUAGGAAUGGAAGAAAUCACACGCUCUGCUCCAGGAUCCUGCAUUUGCCAGGUCACAUUGCUUUACUUUGGAUUUCUACCAUCCGAGAGAAGGUCAGUCCAAAGACCUGAGACCUACCAUGGUGCUGCAGAUUGCUGAGCAACGCCAGGGAAUAUGUCCUCUUGCAUCUUUGCCAGAUGCAUGACUGGAGAAAAUGAGAUGAUUCCUUUUAUAUUUUUCUUUUUAAUUUUUUUCUUUACAAUCCAGGCCUUCAUUGCCUGUUGGUACCUGUUCAACACCAACAGCCAACAAUUACCACUCUUUUUUCUGGCUCAAGUACUUAUUUUUUUAGCUUUUUUUGGUUGUCGUUGUUAAGGAACUGUGUUUAUAGUUCACAUUUUAGAGUUGCAAGGAACCGUAAAGGUCAUAGAGUUCAACCAUCCAAUUUGACCAUGAAGAAAUUGAGGCUCUGAAGUGAAGUGCUUCAUUCCAGUUUCUACAGCUCAUCUCUAGCAGAGGUGAGAAAGGACCCUCACUCCAGACGAGGUGCUCUUUUCUACGCACAAUUGUUAUCCCCCUUUCUAUUUUCCCACCUAUUUAUAGUACCCUUCCUCUGGGCUCUCUAAGACAUAAGAUUAUAGGACAUACAGUUCCAAGAAUCCCUGUUUAUGUUUUGUUAGCAGAUGGCCUUCAAAUACUAACCUUUGGUUGCCUUAAA